UGGGGGAUAUUGCACAAUGGGGGAAACCCUGAUGCAGCAACGCCGCGUGAAGGAAGAAGGUCUUCGGAUUGUAAACUUUUGUCUUGCGGGACGAAUAAUGACGGUACCGCAGGAGGAAGCCACGGCUAACUACGUGCCAGCAGCCGCGGUAAUACGUAGGUGGCGAGCGUUGUCCGGAAUUACUGGGUGUAAAGGUUGCGUAGGCGGAUUUGCAAGUCAGGUGUGAAAACUAACGGCUUAACCGGUAGCCUACACUUGAAACUGUAAGUCUUUAGUGGUGAAGAGGUAAGCGGAAUUCCUAGUUUAGCGGUGAAAUGCGUAGAUAUUAGGAGGAACACCAGUGGCGAAGGCGGCUUACUGGGCACUAACUGACGCUGAGGCGCGAAAGCAUGGGGAGCAAACA
rnacentral:rRNA from 1 species